rnacentral:RNase_P_RNA from 1 species
AGCGGACUGCGCGGCCGCGGCGUACCUCGAGUACGACGAGGAAAGUCCGGGCAUCGCAGGGCAGGACGCCUGAUAACGUCAGGUGAAGGCGACUUUAAGGAAAGUGCAACAGAAAUAGACCGCCGCUCACGCGGCAAGGGUGGAAAGGCGAGGUAAGAGCUCACCGACGGGACGGUAACGCCCCGUGCCAUGUAAACCCCGUCCGAUGCAAGGUUGGGCGGUAUUCAUAUGGGUUGCCCGCCCGAAUACCGCCGUGAACACCGCUUGAGCGUAUCGGCGACGAUACGCCUAGAUAAAUGACCGCGCUCGACAGAACCCGGCUUACAGGUCCGCC